UUUUAAAACAUACUUUAAUACAGCAGAAUAUUAUCAGAAGAACUGAUCUAGCUGUAAUAAGCGUGGUUUAUUGUGCUUAGUUACAUCUUUUGCCUUAUGACAGUCAAAGCAGUUGUGGUGGGUAGCAGGGGGAAUUUUAAGAAGUGAAAAUAAGCAGUUAAAGCUAGAUUUCUGCUGGACUAUAUACACCAAUGCAGAAAGCUGGUCUGGAGCACAAGGAUUCACUUUAUGAAUAGGAUUGGCUCUUAUGAUGAGGAUGAAGAGUCUGAAUUGGGGCUGAAGGUAGCAAGUUGCUUUUUGACAGCAACAUUUCCUAAGGCUAAUAAGCAUGCUCUUUAUGCCAAGUUUCUUAUUGCUCCUCAAGUUUUUUCUUGAGAGAUUGACUAAAUUGCAAGCUGUAAUUUCAUUCUAUAUCAUUACAGCCCCAAAACACUCACUUUAGAACAAUCCAGAUUGUGUAAUAGCCAUGCUCCCUGUUUGAUAACACAAUCACAAAAGUGCUGUUGUGUAAUAAUUAAAGAAUUUUUAAAUGAGAUAAAAUUGGAAUGUUUUUUGUAAACAGCAGGCACAUGGCCCACAUGCAGUUUUCCUUUUGACAGGAAGAAUUUACUUAAAUAAUCUGUGUUUUAAAAUCAUCUCAUCUCAGGAGCACAAAACUGUUGUCAUAGCUUUUACUGGGUUUUUUCCUGACCUUUCAUCUAGCAGGUGUGCAUUUAUACAAAAGGUACCUGCAGAUAGUAGCACUGUUUCAAAUCUUGGUGGAUACUUAAUGAAACAUUAGUUAACAUGAACAGUUUUGAAUCUUAAGAAUUUUUUUCAUGUGUAAACCUUAAAGGAUAGCUUCAGUUUGAAAUGAUGAAGGUACCUGCUGUAAAUAUAUUGUGCAUCAUCAUACUUUGUCAUCCCCACACUUGAAUUCCUCCACCAACAAGCUGCUGUACAUCUUAAGGGGUCCUCCAUGAAAGGCAUCAGUCCAGCUCACAAAGCAAACCUAUGUUCACAUGCAGUAAAUUACAGUGACUUGGGGGGGGUGGGGGGUGGUCCCUUUAAGGACACUGAAAGGGUGAAGUUUCUUCAAUUUUUUGAAGGUGUAAAACUGAUGCUUUUGUGGGAUGAUUUUUAUAUGUUGAAGCGAAGUGGGGGGUGAGGAGUGUUUUUGUUUUAUAUUAGCACUUAAAUCCAGGUGAAGUGAUCACUGACACCACUGAUGCAGUCAGUCAGUCACUGCAUGCAGUCAGGUGGGCUUCAGGAGUACAAAAUGAGAAUUCAUAUCACUUCCCACAAGAGACAAUUGCCAGUCAGUUCACUAAAAUAGGUACUGUAAAAAUCAUGUAAAAUUCAGAGUAAGCCAUAAUCACUGGUGGUACUUCAGGUACCUGUAAGAAUGUUGUGAGUAACAUUUCCAGUUUUUUGCCAUUCUGAUUUAAUGUGAAAGGGUUUUUUAAACAAAUUAUUAUUACCUUUUUUUAUUACUUCUUUUAUGGAAAGUUCAUGUCAGUCUUUGAAAUAAAAACCAAAGCAUAAAGGUAGAUAGUUAUGUGGUGGAGAGGAGUGUUCUAAAGGUCUAUCUGCUGUUACACAGUCAGUGUAAUGUUGCUAAAAUGUUUCUCUUAAACGGCAUGGAUUUCACCUUGGUUUGAUAGUGAAAGGGGAAGGCUUCAUUCAGGGUGUCCUGGUGACUGUGAAGGGCUAUAGUUCUAGGUAGAUCUUGAAGUAAACCUACUGGGUGCUUCCAGUGACCUAGAGGAUUUAGUUUUUUCUGCGUGCCUGUGCUGCUACUCGGAGAGGAAAGCUUUGCUGAACCGAAAUCACUGCCAUAGCACUCUGCGCUGCUACUUCUCUGUCUAUCUAAAUGCAGAUUAGCCGUUUUUAGACAUACGGCUUCUCCGUAUAUCUAAAUACAUGCUCAGCAGAGCUUGUCCCAUAGGUAUUGAUAACAUGUUGUCUUCCUUGCUGAGCGAGUCAGGAGGUCACAAAAUAACUGAGGUAUGACUGAAUUACACAGGGACUGAGCAAAAGACAGUAGAAAGCAUGUUCUCAGCCAGGGGACACAGCUGGCCAGAGCAGGGGUUUGCAGUAGGUUGGCAGUAGAUGAGAGUUCAAGCAUGACAAUCGCAAAUUCUGUCAUAACUUUCUAUUGACUAAGAUUCAGCAAUCUCAUUAGUAGCAAUAUUUUAUAAACAUCCAAGAAUAGUUGUUCUCUUUAAAUGACAUGAAGAUAAGGUCCACUUUGUGCCUCUUGUUUUGGCUUGGCUUUUAAAAAAAUAUUUGUAGUAACUGCUAAAAGAAGCCCUUGGAAGGGGGAGAGGAAGACCAGUGUAAGAUUUCCUUCCCCUUUCCUUCUUGGGAAGAAAAGCAGAAGAUGGGGAAAUCCUAUAAUUCCCCCUACUGCAAGGAAUCUUUUCAAACAAAGUUUGAUUUUUAUUUUUUUUUUCUUCCAGUGAAUUCAUUGAGCAGUUUCAAUGUUACAGUGCCAAGUUUUCCUUCAUGUGUAGAAAAUAACAAUUUUGUUUUUCUCUUUACACGAGUGUAGCACAUAAAGCUAUGAAUCUCAUGGGGUUAAAAUGUUUCAUUUCUGAUCUUACUUAGAGAAGACAUGUUGUUAUGUUUGUAAUUUUGGAAUAAAAUUUUUAAUGGUUUCAAUAAA